rnacentral:rRNA from 1 species
GUUGAACGCUGGCGGCAUGCCUUACACAUGCAAGUCGAACGGCAGCACGGGAGCAAUCCUGGUGGCGAGUGGCGAACGGGUGAGUAAUGUAUCGGAACGUACCUUUCAGUGGGGGAUAACGUAGCGAAAGUUACGCUAAUACCGCAUAUUCUGUGAGCAGGAAAGCAGGGGAUCGCAAGACCUUGCGCUGAUUGAGCGGUCGAUAACAGAUUAGGUAGUUGGUGAGGUAGAGGCUCACCAAGGCGACGAUCUGUAGCGGGUCUGAGAGGAUGAUCCGCCACACUGGAACGGCGACACGGUCCAGCCUCCUACGGGAGGCAGCAGUGGGGAAUUUUGGACAAUGGGGGCAACCCUGAUCCCGCCAUGCCGCGUGAGUGAAGAAGGCCUUCGGGUUGUAAAGCUCUUUCGGCCGGGAAGAAAUCGCAUGGGUUAAUACCCUGUGUGGAUGACGGUACCGGAAUAAGAAGCACCGGCUAACUACGUGCCAGCCGCCGCUGUAA